rnacentral:rRNA from 1 species
GCAUAAGGGCUCCACCUCUUCCCAUUCCGAACAGAGAAGUUAAACCUUAUCACGCCGAUGGUACUGCGAAAGCGGGAGAGUAGGUAAUCGCCCCCU